rnacentral:rRNA from 1 species
GAUGAACGCUGGCGGCGUGCUUAACACAUGCAAGUCGAACGAAGCACUUUGAUCGAUUUCUUCGGAUUGAAAUUUUAGUGACUGAGUGGCGGACGGGUGAGUAACGCGUGGGUAACCUGCCUCACACAGGGGGAUAACAGUUGGAAACGGCUGCUAAUACCGCAUAAGCGCACAGUACCGCAUGGUACAGUGUGAAAAACUCCGGUGGUGUGAGAUGGACCCGCGUCUGAUUAGCCAGUUGGCGGGGUAACGGCCCACCAAAGCGACGAUCAGUAGCCGGCCUGAGAGGGUGAACGGGCCACAUUGGGACUGAGACACGGCCCAAAACUCCUACGGGAGGCAGCAGUGGGGAAUAUUGCACAAUGGGGGAAACCCUGAUGCAGCGACGCCGCGUGAGUGAAGAAGGCUUUCGGGUGUAAACUUCUUUAAGAGGGAAGAGCAGAAGACGGUACCUCUAGAAUAAGCCACGGCUAACUACGUG